rnacentral:rRNA from 1 species
UGGGGGGCGGUUCUUAAACCAUGCAAGUCGAACGAUGAACCACUUCGGUGGGGAUUAGUGGCGAACGGGUGAGUAACACGUGGGCAAUCUGCCCUGCACUCUGGGACAAGCCCUGGAAACGGGGUCUAAUACCGGAUACUGACCCUCACGGGCAUCUGUGAGGUUCGAAAGCUCCGGCGGUGCAGGAUGAGCCCGCGGCCUAUCAGCUUGUUGGUGAGGUAAUGGCUCACCAAGGCGACGACGGGUAGCCGGCCUGAGAGGGCGACCGGCCACACUGGGACUGAGACACGGCCCAGACUCCUACGGGAGGCAGCAGUGGGGAAUAUUGCACAAUGGGCGAAAGCCUGAUGCAGCGACGCCGCGUGAGGGAUGACGGCCUUCGGGUUGUAAACCUCUUUCAGCAGGGAAGAAGCGAAAGUGACGGUACCUGCAGAAGAAGCGCCGGCUAACUACGUGCCAGCAGCCGCGGUAAUACGUAGGGCGCGAGCGUUGUCCGGAAUUAUUGGGCGUAAAGAGCUCGUAGGCGGCUUGUCGCGUCGGUUGUGAAAGCCCGGGGCUUAACCCCGGGUCUGCAGUCGAUACGGGCAGGCUAGAGUUCGGUAGGGGAGAUCGGAAUUCCUGGUGUAGCGGUGAAAUGCGCAGAUAUCAGGAGGAACACCGGUGGCGAAGGCAGAUCUCUGGGCCGAUACUGACGCUGAGGAGCGGAAAGCGUGGGGAGCGAACAGGAUUAGAUACCCUGGUAGUCCACGCCGUACACGGGUGGGCACUAGGUUGUGGGGCAACAUUCCACGUUGUCCGUGCCGCAGCUAACGCAUUUAGGUGCCCCCGCCCUGGGAGAGUACGGGCCGCAAGGCUUAAAACUUCAAGGAAUUUGACCGGGGGCCCCGCUCAAUCAGGCGGCGGAGCAUGUGGCUUAAUUUCGACGCAACGCGAAGAACCUUACCAAGGCUUGACAUACACCGGAAAGCAUCAGAGAUAGUCCCCCCCUUGUGGUCGGUGUACAGGUGGUGCAUGGCUGUCGUCAGCUCGUGUCGUGAGAUGUUGGGUUAAGUCCCGCAACGAGCGCAACCCUUGUCCCGUGUUGCCAGCAGGCCCUUGUGGUGCUGGGGACUCACGGGAGACCGCCGGGGUCAACUCGGAGGAAGGUGGGGACGACGUCAAGUCAUCAUGCCCCUUAUGUCUUGGGCUGCACACGUGCUACAAUGGCCGGUACAAUGAGCUGCGAUACCGCGAGGUGGAGCGAAUCUCAAAAAGCCGGUCUCAGUUCGGAUUGGGGUCUGCAACUCGACCCCAUGAAGUCGGAGUCGCUAGUAAUCGCAGAUCAGCAUUGCUGCGGUGAAUACGUUCCCGGGCCUUGUACACACCGCCCGUCACGUCACGAAAGUCGGUAACACCCGAAGCCGGUGUGCCCAACCCCUUGUGGGAGGGAGCUGUCGAAGGUGGGAUUGU